CGCCCUCUGUAGGGCACUUGAGGUACUGUUUCUCUUGUGGUUUGUAUUGUAGAUGACUACUUCUGGUUAAACUGAACAUUUCAUCAACAACUGGGAACAGGAAGGAGGAUUGAACGAGAGAAGGUGGCUUAUAGGUUGUGGUUGUAACAAAACCAUCUGUGGUAUGAAGUUCAAGGGCAAAGAGAGUAAGGAAGAGAGGAGAGAAAGAGACAAACAGAUGGGUGUCGGGUUGUCUUGUGAAAGCUUACAGGACAAGAAGUUGCCCUCGUUUGAAGAAGCAACUGGCUUCAUUUAACAAAGACACAGGCUUACACAGUAGUCAACAUGAAGUCAGAAUUCACCCUGAUUACUUAAUGAAUGAUUCAGUGGACCUUGUUCUAAAUAACUCUAGAUUCAUUUAUCUUAAUCUUGUAGAGCAUGACACUAAAGUUAAGGCAUUUAUUUUUCUUUCACUUUAUAAUAAUCAGUGUUUCCUACCAUUUUUCUCAUUUGGCAAAGCAGUGAUGUGUCAGAAGAUAAAGAAUGAUGGGUAAUCAGUACAUGCGUUCAAUGGACUGUACUGUUGUUUAAUAAUAAUAAUAAUUGUUCAGCUGACAAAAUGUAUUUCAGAAAACUUUCAGUAGACAAAAACACAGAUUUGAAAGUCACAGGACCUUUAGGCCUAUACACUGUCUUGUGUUAAUGGGUCUAAAAGGCGAUUAUGGAUAACAACAAUCCUUUGUGUCUGUAUCGUUAGUUGUGUUCCUAUAUUCUCAUGGAAUUAGAUUAGAUUGACUA